CAUUAAUUUGAUACAAUUUCAACUUCAGAUUUCAGAGCAGACUUUAGAAUUGAUUACAAAUAAAGUUGAUUUAAAAUGUUGUGAACUAAAGUAACACAAAAAUGUGUUCCAAAAUUGUUUACAUAUUGUUUUACCCCAAGAAUUAUCAACGGAACUAACUAACAAUGUGGUGCAAGAGAAAGACACAACAAUUUAUGGAAGCACAACAAAAUCCGCCAAUGAAAAUGAUCCAAGAGAACCGAACAAACUUAAUCUCGAAUCUUUUAGUUCAUCCAAUCCAACGAAUGAUGAAGAAGCGAAUAACGGUCUUGAUUAUCCAUUCAAAACACUAAUGCGAUUACUCAAAGUUAAAGGCAGCAUAACAGACAGUUUCGAUGGGGCAUCAAAAAUAUUCGGCGGAAUCCAAGACGUUGGUGGCGAAUUAUUCGGCAUGGUCAAAGAUGGAGCUCUUAAUUUUAAAAACUAUUUACCAUUUAAAUAACAAAAGUUUAAUUACAUAAUUUUGCCUAGUUUCUAAAUUUGCCAAGUAAAAUGUAGAUUUAUCAUUGUUUGUGGUAUAAGGCUUUUACUCUAAGUAUUUGAGAUAUAAUCAGUUUCUAAUUCUUUUCUAAAAAGAGAUUUAAAAAUAAAUGUGAUUUACA